rnacentral:rRNA from 1 species
GAACGGUAACAGGGAAAAGCUUGCUUUUCCGCUGACGAGUGGCGCACGGGUGCGUAACGCGUAUACAAUCUGCCUCUUACUGGGGGAUAGCCUUUGGAAACGAAGAAUAAUACCCCAUGGUAUCCAGGUUUCGCAUGGAAUCUGGAUUAAAGUUUCGGCGGUAAGAGAUGAGUAUGCGUUCUAUUAGCUAGAUGGUGUGGUAACGGCACACCAUGGCAACGAUAGAUAGGGGCCCUGAGAGGGGGAUCCCCCACACUGGUACUGAGACACGGACCAGACUCCUACGGGAGGCAGCAGUGAGGAAUAUUGGACAAUGGGCGGAAGCCUGAUCCAGCCAUGCCGCGUGCAGGAAGACUGCCCUAUGGGUUGUAAACUGCUUUUGUACGGGAAGAAACCCACCUACGUGUAGGUGGCUGACGGUACCGUAAGAAUAAGCAUCGGCUAACUCCGUGCCAGCAGCCGCGGUAAUACGGAGGAUGCAAGCGUUAUCCGGAAUCAUUGGGUUUAAAGGGUCCGUAGGUGGAUUGGUCAGUCAGAGGUGAAAUCCUGCAGCUCAACUGUAGAACUGCCUUUGAUACUGCCGGUCUUGAAUUAUCGUGAAGUGGUUAGAAUAUGUAGUGUAGCGGUGAAAUGCAUAGAUAUUACAUAGAAUACCGAUUGCGAAGGCAGAUCACUAACGAUACAUUGACACUGAUGGACGAAAGCGUGGGGAGCGAACGGGAUUAGAUACCCCGGUAGUCCACGCCGUAAACGAUGGUCACUAGCUGUUCGGACUUCGGUCUGAGUGGCUAAGCGAAAGUGAUAAGUGACCCACCUGGGGAGUACGUUCGCAAGAAUGAAACUCAAAGGAAUUGACGGGGGCCCGCACAAGCGGUGGAGCAUGUGGUUUAAUUCGAUGAUACGCGAGGAGCCUUACCAGGGCUUAAUGUAGAUGCAUAGCUGGAGACAGCUACUUCUUCGGACAUCUACAGGUGCUGCAUGGU